rnacentral:rRNA from 1 species
AACGUAGGAGACGAGCGUUAUCCGGAUUUACUGGGCGUAAAGCGUGUGCAGGCGGUUCGGCAAGACCGAUGUGAAAUCCCCGGGCUUAACCUGGGAAUGGCAUUGGUGACUGCACGGCUAGAGUGUGUCAGAGGGGGGUAGAAUUCCACGUGUAGCAGUGAAAUGCGUAGAGAUGUGGAGGAAUACCGAUGGCGAAGGCAGCCCCCUGGGAUAACACUGACGCUCAUGCACGAAAGCGUGGGGAGCAAACAGG